AUGGGACCGAGACCUCUGUAUCACAGAAGACUCUGCAGUUUGUCCUGCCCAUCGAGCCUGGAGAUCUUUUGACCAUCUACUUUCUGUGCCAGUACACGUCCUGUGGCACACUGUGAACAUUAAGGAUCACAGGGCACAUCCUACAUCUCGGUUGCUUCUCAGCACCUAAAAUGCCAGAAUAGGGAACAACCCUAUGGGUAACAAAUUGACUAGUUCUACUGAACAUAAAGUUAAGGAUUUCUUUCUCCUUUGACAAAUUGGCUGUGGCAAAAACCACAACCGUGCUCUACGCAAAAAGCACUUGGAGAUGGGAGAAAAGCACUGGUCUGUGGCGCCAGGCAGCUGCAGCCCAUGGGGAUGCUCAGGAGCGGUAACUUGGCUUCCGAGUGUGGAACUGGAGCUCGAGUCCACAGGUCAGUUAGAAUCAACUGCAGCUUCCCUCAGCUUUUCAGACAGAGCAGCGUGCAUGAUGCAUGUCUGGGGAAGUAUCUCAUCUAAGCUGAGAGAGAAAUAAUUCAAAGUCCAAACUUUAGUCUACCUUACAAUAUAUGCAAGGAAGAGACAUCAUAUACAGAAGGCUUGUUUAUUAUUUAUAUGGUGCCUUAGCUACGCAUCACACUUCACAGGCAAAUCCAGACAAUCUUUGCCCCAAGGAGCUUACAAGCUAAAUUAAAUUAAAACCAGCCAAAAUGACAGCGUAUCCAUAGUUAUGGAAAGAACACAAGGUAUGUAGAGAAAAUCACUGCUGUUUGGGGAAGAAAUAGAUUUUUGUGCAUAAUCUAUAUUUACUUCAUUUUCCAUAUCCUGUUUGUGACUGCUAUGCUAAUGAAAUACAGAAGCUGACAUACCUGUCCCGUGAACACUGUAAGAUAUUGUCGCCUACAUUUCCUUACAGGUAAAUGUAUCAGUAAAAUUACAAAAUCAUAGACUACAUAACAUCUGUGAAUCAAAACUAUUAGGCACGGGUAAAAAUGGCAUUUAGCUUUUCCAUGUGAAAAUGCUGCAUCAUUUGCAGUGUGUAACCAUUGGUUAAUUGUGUGCUCAAGAUUUUCCAAAAUGCGUGGCAGAUGCACAUAAGAACAAGAUACUGUUUGAACAUUUCUCAUUUUGGAAAUGUGCAAAUUAAUCUAGCCUGCAGACUGCACUGACCUUUUCGUUUAUGUUUUUUUAAUAUAUGGAUGAAAAUAAAAGCCAGACUUCCCAAAACAAGCUACAAAUGCAACUGUAAGCAAAGCAGUUUUAGUGUCUUUUACAAUACAUUGUUUUAUGCUUUGUGAUAACGAAAGAAAUUAUCUUAGAAUCUACAGGAUAUAUUCAUAGUAUCAGCUGAUAAUUAUAUAUAAUUUAUAUAUUAAAAUAUAUAAAGAAACAGCACAGAAUGAGAUUGUGUUCUUGCUGCACUUGAUAUACAUAAAUUACAUCAAUUUUAAAAAAAGAAAUCAAAAAUAAUUUUAUGGAGCCUUCUCUCUUCCAAAUAUCGUCAAGUUUAAAAAAAAAUCUGGACUACUGGCUGGACAUUAAGUGGUCUGAAAAAGGGACUGAUAUUUGGAGCAUAAUAUUCCACCCCCUGCAACUGCUCUUAGUUUUCCCAUGUGUGUCUCUGUCCCCAGUUGAUCAUGACUUUCUAAUAAAAUGUGUCUGAGGGAGGCCUGCAUUAUUAUGUGCUGUCAUUCCUGGGUUUUGAAAAAUUACCAUCUUUGCAUUAUUAGACUUUUUGCAGAGUUUUGUUUGUCACAGGGUUUUAGUUUUAGUCCCAGUGGUGGGUGAAGUUCUUUUUUGGAUACAGGAAAGACCUUCAGUCUUCUGACAUCCUAAAGACACUAGGUAUUUGGACAACAUCCAAAGGUUGGUGGGUUUUUUUCUUCACUGCAAACGCAUCUCUCCCCAGUCAGCUCUUCCUGGCAGGGCAUUACCUGGCUACAACUGGAGUCAGCAGUUCUACUAAAACAGCCAAGCUCCAGCCUCUCCAACCCCACUCUUGCACAGCUUCUAUGAAGGGAGGUUUAGCACAACCUGAGGGACAGGAGUGUAGAUGCAAAUGACGUGGCUCAGGCUGGUCCUCAGUUUAAGAGACCAUUAGGAAUGCGCGAUUAUGGUGAACUGUGGUGUUUGCUACUGAAAUUCCUAACUAGUAACCUUUGAGACUAGUAUGUUAGAAAACCUGGCCUUUUAAUUAAGGAAAGUAUUAGUUGCAAGCUGCUGACUUGAUGCAUUAUGCCUAAAUUCAGUUUCUGCAUUUAUAUGGCAGCGUAAAGGGAUUUCAUUAAGUUGCAACUAAAGACCACUGUCCAUCCUCCUUCAGUCCUUUGCCUGGAUCCACACUCUCCUCUGCACUAUGCUCAGUGAGCAGCUGCUGUAGCUCAGGCUCAGUGAGGGAAACAAGAUGGAUAUAAUACAAACAUGGACACUAUUUCCACAAGAAGACAUUGUGCUUUUUUUCUUCAAAUAACUGCUAAAGCUCCUACUGAAAACAGUACACACAGCAUGUUUGCUUCAUGCUUUGAGCACCACCUUAGCUUAAGUACAUAGGAUCUCUCAGAGAGUCCUUUAUUACCUUAGUGACGAAAAAAAUCUAUUUCUUAAGCACUGUAUGUGAAUGACUAAGCAGCCCAAGUUCUCAUUUUCUUCUUUCCAGAAAGUUUAUAUCCCCAAAUGUAAAGGUCCAGAAUGCCCCAAGAAUAGAUCCUACUUCUAAAUUUUUCAGUUAGAUGUGAAGUGUGGCUCAUUAGUGGGAAUUUGACCGCCUAUCAUAACAGGAAAAAAAAAAGGGGGGACAGAGGGUAGUAGGUAGCAGGAGCAUGAAAAACUGUCCUUCGUGCUUGCUUCCAAAACUUUGAAGAUGGUAGAGUGGGUAGUCUACAGGUCUUCUGCAUCUUUAUGUGAGUACAGUUCACUUAGUUUCUCAAACUUUGGUCCCCACACCCUAUACCCUCAGCCUGCCAGCACCCCAGCCUUCCCCUUGGGUGCUGAGCCCUCGGUGAGCCUUGGGGCCCGGCGCCGGGGUGACGGCCUGCAACAGCGGGCAAGUGCUGACCCAAGCCCGGGCUAGUGAAAGGGCUUCUGUAGGCGCUGAUGGUUUGGUCUGCUCCUGCGAGCUCUGGGACACGUCGCUAAAGAAACUGCUCAGUUUUGUGGGGUUUUCUUUCUUCUUGUAGAGGGAAUAGACUGGGCUGGUUUGAAUAGACACCUGGAGUUCUGCCAUGUUGUAUGCAUCCUGGAGUGAGAAACCAUUCAUGUUAAAUUAAUAUCCUCUGUAGGUCUCAAAAUUUCACGUUCUAGUGGAAAUAACGAAAGAACAAUCCCGAGGCGGUCCAUCUGGUGUGAAUGUGAAGGAUGUGCUUGUUCAACCAACUCUGCCACCUUAAGAAAGCCAAAGCCUGCUAAGCAGAUGAGGAUGCAUGAGGAGCACCUGUGCAGCCUGCACUACUAUAGCUAUGUUCAAAAUCAAGUCUAAUUCCAUAUUAGAAGCUAAAUAAAAAUGACAGAAAUGCCCCAAA